CUAUAUCAUCCCUUUUGAUGUUCUUUGGUCUGGAUGAGCCUCUUUCUCCCCAGAAAAGACUCACCCAUAAUUUUGAAGAUGUUAGGGCCUGAAGGUGGAUGAUUUGUGUUUUUUAUUUUAUUUUCUUGAUGUUUUGUUACUAUAUUUUCCUUUUUCUGGUGUUCCUUUUUAUUUUCCUUUUCUUUGGUGUUCCCAUCACGUGGAUUGUCUACGACAUCUAACGAGCACCACAAGCCCCGGUUUAUUGUUCGGAGUUUGCUCUCCUAGGCAGACUGCCUACCACGGCUGACGAGCUCCACCUGCCCGGGUUUAUUGUUCGGAGUUUGCUCUCCUAGGUGUAUUACCUAUGACGGCUCACGAGCCCAACCUGCCCGGGUUUAUUGUUCGGAGUUUGCUCUCCUAGGUGUAUUACCUAUGACGGCUCACGAGCCCAACCUGCCCGGGUUUAUUGUUCGGAGUUUGCUCUCCUAGGUGAAUUGCCUACCACGGCUAACGAACCUCACCUGCCCGGGUUUGUAAUCGGAGUUUGCUCUCCUAGGUGAACUGCUCACGCUAACGACCUCCACCUGCCCGGUUUUGUUAUCGGAGUUUGCUCUCCUAGAUGAACUGCUUUCGCUAACGACCUCCACCUGCCCGGGUUUAUUGUUCGGAGUUUGCUCUCCUAGGUGUAUUACCUAUGACGGCUCACGAGCCCAACCUGCCCGGGUUUAUUGUUCGGAGUUUGCUCUCCUAGGUGAAUUGCCUACCACGGCUAACGAGCCCCACCUGCCCGGCGUUGUAGCCGAAAGAUCUCCGGCACCUCCGUCGGGGUCCCGAUGGACGCCGAGGCGCCCUACCUGGAGCCCUUCAGUUCUGCCAUGCUCGCCUGGGAGACCUUGGGCUCGCUGGCGCUCCACCCCCCCGCCGAUUCGAAUAGGGCGGAUGCAAGAACUCGCUUCUUAAAACUACCAGACUGGAUUAUAAAAUUAAUCAUAAAUGCCGUGAAGGCGCCGGUCACC